rnacentral:rRNA from 1 species
GGGUGUGCCUAAUGCCUAUGCGUGUUACCUUGUCUUGGAUAACAGCCCGGAAAAAUCCCGAUUACUACCGCCGACCUUCACGGUGAAAGCGGGGGAUCUGAGACCUCUUUAUGGGAUUGCGGUGGGCAUGCAUGUCGUUAUUGGUGGGGUAGGGUAACACCCCACCAACGAUAUGAUGACGGUCGGAUCUGACAAGAUGGCCCCCCGCGACGGUACCGAGACCCGGACCCCAACUGGACGCAACGCUGCGGAAUUGUGGACAGUGGGGGCGACCCUGAUCCAACCCUGCCGCGCGCGGGAAGAAAGCAUUGCGGUUGUAAUCGUCUAUUGUCAUGGAACAGGAAACUCCCACUAUAACUGGGGGUUCAUGACUGUACCUGAAGAAUAAGGACCGGCUAACUCCGUGCCAGCAGCCGCGGUAAUACGUAGGAUGCAAGCGUUAUUCGGAUUUACUGGGCUUAAAGGGUGCGCAGGCGGUCAGUCAAGACAGAUGUGAAAUCCCCUGGCUCAACCUGGGAACUGCCCUUGUGACUGCUUGGCUUGAGUGGAGUAGAGGGUGGAUGGAAUUCCACGUGUAGCAGUGAA